UGUUCGGGGCAUUAAUUUGACAGGGCGGAGCUAGAGGAUGAGCUGUACGCGGAGGAGUCCGAGGGGUCAGAGGGUGACGACAGUGAACUAGAGUUCAGACUCUACAGCCAACUCCACUACUCCUCUAACCCCGGAGACAGGGAGGGGGUGGAGGAGGAGGUGGGAGACAGGCGCCUCUCCUCCAGCCACGGAGAGAAGGAGGAGGUGGAGGAGGAGGUGGGAGACAGGCGCCUCUCCUCCAGCCACGGAGAGAAGGAGGAGGAGGAGGAAGAUGGGAGCAAGGCCAAACGACAGCGGCCACCCCUGUCACAUGAUCAUGGUAACAGAGAUCUACGACAGCACCUGCUGGGGGACGCAGAGCAGAAACAACAGAAAGUCGAACUGAAAACCCAACAGGGGUGGAGACGGCAGAGAGGUCUCUCCAAAGGUGACCCCAGACGUCAAAGGUUGUUCCAGGAGGUCGUCGUCAUCGACUCGAGUCAAGACGACGUCAUCACAGUGUCAGACAACACGGAGGAAGAUGACGGGGUGUGUAGCUUGAAAGGUCAGAGGUUAAAGAAAGGACCCCUGCAGGCCUCGACCCAGGGACAACAGGUACGGCGACAGAGUGUGUCUUCGCCUUG